UACGUAGGGGGCGAGCGUUGUCCGGAUUUAUUGGGCGUAAAGAGCUCGUAGGCGGUUUGGCAAGUCGGGUGUGAAAACUCCGGGCUCAACUCGGAGACGCCACUCGAUACUGUUAUGACUCGAGUCCGGUAGGGGAGUGCGGAAUUCCUGGUGUAGCGGUGAAAUGCGCAGAUAUCAGGAGGAACACCGGUGGCGAAGGCGGCACUCUGGGCCGGUACUGACGCUGAGGAGCGAAAGCGUGGGGAGCGAACAGGAUUAGAUACCCUGGUAGUCCACGCCGUAAACGUUGGGCACUAGGUGUGGGGCUCGAUCGACGGGCUCCGUGCCGUAGCUAACGCAUUAAGUGCCCCGCCUGGGAAGUACGGCCGCAAGGCUAAAACUCAAAG
rnacentral:rRNA from 1 species